GUUCCCCGGCUCUCGGGGGAGGCCGGGCCCGGGCCCCAAGCGGGAAACAGCGGCCCCCUCGGCCUAAAAAACAGGGCCCACUGAAGCCCCUCAUGGGGCGGAGCGAACCCAAAGGGGCGCUGCCGCUCCUGCCGGGCCUGCCUGUACCGGUGGCGCCCUCAGGCGGGGCCAGGGCCGGGCCUCCAAGAAGGCGGCAGCCGCGCCGGCAGGAAGGGCCCCUGGGUCAACUGGCGAGGAGGGAGCCGGAGGGGGCGCUGCCCGCCCUCGACCUGCCCCCUCCCGCCCCGGAGGCCCCUCCUCGCCAGGAUCCCGACAACAUCUGGGUCCCCCAGGGGCGCCUCCUGCCUGACAUCCGGCUGCCCUUCCCCGCGCCUCCCCCGCCCUGGGCGCCGCUCAACAUGCUCGCCAGGAGAUACGGGUGAAUGGAUCAUAGAAUCCCGAAAACAUCGAAAGCCCCGCUUUUAUUUUCAUAGGGCUGAUGGCCUUGGAGGAAGGAGAUGCUGAUAACUUAAAACGCCGUGUAGUGGAACUACUGCUUCAGAACCCCCAAGGCAUCAGGUUUGAGAAUUUUUCUGGGGCCUUCCAUCAGCUGCAUGGUUACUACCCUCGUAUCGCUCUUCAGGGAUAUCAUACGCUCAAGGAAUUAGUGGCUGAUAUGAAGAAUGCUGUGGUUGUGGAAAGGCGUUCACGGCAACAAGUUUUGAAGAUUGCAAAGGGCUUCCGUCUUGACUGUUGGUUGGAAGGAGAAAAAGGGAAUGGAUUGGAAACAUCAGAAAGAGAAGUGGAGAACCUGCGAGAUGAAGACCAAGUUGGAGGAGAAACAACUCUUGCAGACAUCUUGGAUUUGCUCAUCAGCCUCCUAACGGAGUACAAAUCGGGACUGAGAAUUAGCUAUAUCCAGAAAUUCAUGCUAUCCAAGCAUGCAGUGGACAUGGAAAAGUUCAGCAUUGCCCAAGGCUACAAGAACAUCAUGGAAUUCUUGGGACAUGAACUGCCAGAGCUAAUAGUCAGAUAUCAAGAGAAAACCUGUGAAUAUGUUGUACAGAUUCCUGAAGGUCUCUUUGCCUCAGAUCUGUCUGUGGAGUCAGAUUUCUCUACAUGGAGCUCACCAUCCUCGACCCAGGAUCUAACAAGAACAAACUCUGCUAGCUCUUUGUAUUACACAUGCAAAAGUGACCCAAACCAUGUGAAGCAACCUACAAAAUAUGUCCCAGAUCUGCCGGCUGCUUCAAAGCUAAUUCGGGAUGUGCUCAAGAGUUUUCCUUGUGGUAUCAAAGUAUGUUCGCUAAAAAGGGUCCUCAGAAAGAGAUGCGGAUUUGACUUGGAGGCAUUCCGCACACAGCACGGAUACCAAGAUGUGUUGUCCUGCUUGAAGGAUAUCCCUGACCUGUUUCUGCUAAACACGAAUAGGCAUCGGAAUUGUCUCGUCCGCCUUCAGCCAUGUCCCUUUGGUUCAGAUCUGUCUCUGGACUCAGAUUUCUCUGGAUAUAGCUCUCACUCCGAACCCGACGGUCUAACAAGAACGAAUUCCGUCCUGUCUCUGGAAAGUACCUCCAGCUGUACUCCUUCUCUUGAUACUAAUUUCUCUGUUGGUCACACAAAUGUUGAGCCUAAGAAACCGAGGUCAACAAAUUCAGCUGUCUCUCUACCUUCUACCAGUGUGAGUGUGCCGAACCAUGCGAAGGAACCAACAAACCAGGCCCUAGCAUUACCAGAAGUUUUGUCUUUAGUCAGUGACCUACUCACCAAGUACAAAGACGGUCUGAGAAUUAAGAAAAUUCAAGAUUUCCUGAUGGCCACAAACAGCAUUGACCUUGAGAAAUUCAGCAUCAUGCAAGGCUACAAAGGCUCAGUGGAAUUUUUGCAGCGUCAAAUGCCUUAUUUAUCCUACAUGAAACGAAACCAAAGACUCAACAGUGUUUUUAAACUGGGUAUAAAGGCAAAAAAGAAGCAGCCUCAAAAACAUCCCCAAACUGGAACAACCAAAAAGAAUCCUUCUGUUGCUUCUGUUCCCCCUUUGAUGAAUGCCCCUGUGCUGCAGUCAACAAAACCACUGGAGCCAGUUUGUUCCGAAUCAGGCUUUGGAAGUGUCUCUAAGUCUUCCGUUACAGCCCAUGAUUUUACUGCAAGCAAAUCUCAGUCCCAGAGCCUGCCUUUACAAGCUCCUUCCACACCACACCAAGUCAAGAAUACGAUCCAUUCCAGCAUGCGUAUCCCACUUCCAUCUUUUCAUGAGGUCCAUAAUGCAUCACCAGCCAAGCCUAACAAUUCAGGCCAGUCUAUUUCCAAUGGUCCACACCAGAAGCCAAAUGUAUGCCUGUGUGGACCACCACCCAUGGAAGAGGUAUCUUGUCAGUUGGAUAGGCAACCGUCUAACAAAUCCAAAAUGACUAAAGAUGAACCUUCACAGGACCAGGAUGAUUUGAAGCAGCAAGUAGCUCACAUCCUGGCCUUGCAUCCAGAAGGCAUGUCACUUUUCCAGUUCCGUGCAGCCUAUAGUGCCACCUAUCAGCAGCACUUCCCAAUGGACAACACUGCUUCUGUCAAACAACGUUUGCAGGAAAUGCCGGAUGUUGUUAGUAUGAAAAGCUAUGGAGUCCAAACAAGGCUGCUAUCUGUAUCCCGUGCAAUGCCAUCUUUAAAAUCUGGUCAGCCUGUCUCUGCCACAAUGGAAAAAGCUUCAGUUGUCCCUGGUCUCUCACAGCCCAGAACAGUGUCACUGACUCAAGAGAAUUCUGAAGAACUUGGAGGAGAUGACAGCAAGGAGGAUUACCCAGUCCUUGAUUCUUUGCUCCACCAAGUAGUUAAACCAAGAGGUUGUGUGCAAGAGAAUGUGAAGAAGAAGCCCAGGCCAAUGGGAGCUCCGGUCAUUCCUCAGCCCCCUGUAGUCUGUCAUACAUAUGCCCAAGUCACAGCUUCACGUAAACCUUUGAAACCAAAUAGUCUUCAUAUGAAGCCCACACAACUUAAUAGCCCUUGUAUUUCUGCCAACAAUGCCUCAGUGCCUUCCACCUCUCAUUCUGCCUCUUACAACUCUGGAACAUGGGCGCAGCCGGUGAGCUAUCCAUUUGUGCCGUUGGUUUCCCAGAUGCCAGAGAUUUCCCCUGUCAAGCCCGCCUAUAUCAAAGUUUCUAGAUAUCCUUCCGGGAUCCAGUUUAAGAACCCUACAGUUCAGAGCUCUCCUUUUGCUCAGCCACCCCAUGUGCUCCCAAUUAGAUAUGAUCCGACAAUGCAUCUCACCGAAAGCACAGAACAAUGGAGCAACAUUUGUACUCUCCCACAAGUGGAUGCCUAUUCUCCAGUGAAGACAUCAUCCAACACCCAGCAGCUUGCCCAAAACCCUACAUCCUCAACAAGGAGAUAUCCCAUAUCUCCAUCUUCUAGAAACAUCUCCCAGACUGUCCAGCAGCUAGAAUCUUAUAACCAUACACAGCAGGAUGGUGUGCAGCUUGGAUCAGUUGUGGUAGUAAGGAAUAAAAGCUUCAUAGUAACAUCUCUGGACACACAGCCUAAGCCUCCAGCAUCUGCUUAUCAGAGACAAUACGUUGAUUGGAAUCCUCUGGUAUCUACUACAAACAGAGCGCCGUUCAUUUCACAUGGUGCUUGCUCCACUAGUCAGCUCUUCCAGCCCUUGGAAACUUCCUCUAGUAGGAAAAGGAAUCCUAAUUCUCUGCUUUUUGAACCUCCAAUUUUUGUGGAUCAACCACAACCUGUUAGUGCAAGUGCUACCAUAACCACCUCAUCGUACUCACCACCUUCACUUGUAGAUGCUACUGUAAGCCCAUAUUCCAACCACUUAUCUGUUUGUAAUAAUUCUGCUAGUCAACCUUCAAAGCCUCGAGCUUCCAUUCAACAGCAACAAUAUACUAGCCUGAAUACCUCUGUAAUCAACUCCAGCGGGAAACAAGCAGGUUCAUUGCCUUGCCCUCAAGACCUCACUAUCAGACGAUCCCGCCAACUUUCCAUAACACCUUUAAGUGUUUGUACAGAUAAUGAGCCUCCUGUCCAAACUAAGCCUGUGGUUUCUUUUUCCAAACAUGCUGACGAUCAUCAUGUUUCUUUGCCAAAAAACCAGACAUCUUAUUCUCCCCCAAAUAGCCCUCUUAAAAAACUGGAUAGUUGUGUUAUCCUGUAA
ensembl:lncRNA